CGUCCAUCCACUGCCGCCAUGGCUCGAUAGCCUCCACAUGCUCCCCCCCUCGGCGUAUUAAUGUGUCCAAGUGAAACCGUAGCACGCCCUCACCCGAUCCCCUCCUUUUGCCUGUCGCGCCCCCUCCUCCUCUACUAAAAUGAUGAGCCCAAGAGCUCACGCGGUGAUCAUGCCAAGGUCACCAGUGCCGUGGGCACCGGCCGCCGUUCCCCGUUUGCUGAUGCGCAAGUGAAGCGCGCCGUCGUCCUCUUCUUCCACGCCGAGCGCCACCAGCUAGGACGGCCCCGCACAGUCGCUCCCGUCGAUUCCCUCUGCUGGCAACCAUCGCUGUCCGCCGUCGAUUCGCUCGACCCCGACCUCCGCUGGCCUCACCGGCUGCUCCUCCUGACUCGUGUUCUUGAGACCCUGUUUUAGAUUCAUCCAAGCAUCCAUCCAUUCUUCAUCAAGCCGUCACAAGCAGGCAGGCAUGCAACAUGCCAACAUGCACAGACAAGAAUUUUCUGGAGUGAAUUUGGUUUUCAGUCGUGAGUCUGAGCUCUUACUGUAGUUAAGAGUUCAAAUCAAUAGCUGCCUAUUUUUGCAAGUUCAAAUUAAUGGAUGUGAACUAGUUUUUUUUCCUUUUGGAUUAGUCACUAAUAGUCUAGAGCAUUUCACUCUGCAACUGCAUUUUCCAGUUACGUGAAAUGCAUGAUCCAAAAAAAUUGCAGGACCAUCCACUCAUUGCAAGUAUACCCCCCUACUGUGAAAUGCUCUGUCUACGAAAACCGUGGCAAUCCUGUUUUUGCAAGUUUAAAUCAAUAGUGCCUGUUUUUGCAAGUUUAAA